rnacentral:rRNA from 1 species
CUACGGGGGGCUGCAGUGGGGAAUAUUACACAAUGGGCGCAAGCCUGAUGCAGCCGUGCCGCGUGUAUGAAGAAGGCCUUCGGGUUGUAAAGUACUUUCAGCGGGGAGGAAGGGAGUAAAGUUAAUACCUUUGCUCAUUGACGUUACUCGCAGAAGAAGCACCGGCUAACUCCGUGCCAGCAGCCGCGGUAAUACGGAGGGUGCAAGCGUUAAUCGGAAUUACUGGGCGUAAAGCGCACGCAGGCGGUUUGUUAAGUCAGAUGUGAAAUCCCCGGGCUCAACCUGGGAACUGCAUCUGAUACUGGCAAGCUUGAGUCUCGUAGAGGGGGGUAGAAUUCCAGGUGUAGCGGUGAAAUGCGUAGAGAUCUGGAGGAAUACCGGUGGCGAAGGCGGCCCCCUGGACGAAGACUGACGCUCAGGUGCGAAAGCGUGGGGAGCAAACAGGAUUAGAUACCCCUGUAGUC